UUCUCUAUACUUGUAACAAUGGCAGCAGAAAAUACUAAACCCUCCGAUCUUGAUAUCAUUCCCAAGUAUCUCCUGGCAGACGAUGAAGGUCUAUCCCAAGAAUGCCUGGACCUCAUUGCCACAUUACCCUCCGAACCCGAUUGGUUUGCGACCCGACUGUACCAAUGCCAAGGAUUUUGGCACACAAAGAGACUAACGCAAGGAAUUCUCAAUUUCCAAAGCCACUUCGAAGCCCGUGACUCUGACAUAUUCCUUGUCACAUUUCCAAAAUGCGGCACCACUUGGCUCAAAGCUCUCACUUCCACCCUCCUCAACCGCAAGAUCCAUUAUCCAAACCCGAAUCCAGACUUGACCCGAAUCAUUUCUCCUCAUCCUCUCUUUACUGUCAACCCUCAAGUUCUCGUCCCUCUCUUGGAGUUUAUCCAGCCUGCUGUUAGCUCGUUUCCAUCACCGAGGCUUUUAGCAACCCAUUUACCGUAUGUUUCUUUGCCAGAGUCCUUGAAGCAGUCAAGAUGUAAGAUAAUUUACAUGUGUCGAAAUCCUAAGGAUGCGUUCGUCUCACUCUGGCACUUUGGUAACAAGUUACGACCAGAUCAUAAUACCCGUGAUCAGUCCAACAAGAUCGAUGAUGCAUUUGAGAAGUUUUGCCGAGGAGUGAGCAUUUUUGGGCCACUUUGGGAUCAUGUCUUGGGGUACUAUAAGGAGAGUGUUGAGAGGCCAGAGAAGAUUAUGUUUUUGAAAUAUGAGCAGCUAAAGGAUGAGCCAGUUAAGAUUUUGAAGAAGCUAGCUGAGUUUAUAGGGUGUGGCUUUUCUAAGGAGGAGGAAGAUGGUGAUGUUAUUAGUGAUAUACUGAAGCUACGUAGUUUUGAGACAUUGAGUAAUUUGGAAGUGAAUAAGAAGGGGAAAUUGCCGUCAGGGGUUGAAAACAAGGUUUUUUUUAGACGUGGAGAAGUUGGAGAUAGCAAAAAUUUUCUCACAGCUGAUAUGAUCCAGCGUCUUAAUGCUAUUACACAAGAAAAACUAGGGAAACAUGGAUUGAAGUUUUAAAUCCAUGUAAAGAUAAAUCAAAGUCUGCUGUAAUAAAUUUGCCUGAAGAUUGAGUAUGCAUGUUUGCUUUUGAUGAAGUCUUAGCUGGCUUCAUUGAUAUGGAGGAGCUGCGUUUCUUGUGUCGAGGAUUAAGAGUUCUGAGGUUUCACUGAUGUUUGAGAAGAGUGUUGGACUGUGGCUUUAGCGCCCAGCAAGGAUUAAUUGACGAUCCCUUCUACUUUUUGUUUCCUUUCCUUAUCACUUGGAUUAUUCAAGGAUCAUUUCGG